rnacentral:rRNA from 1 species
AGUGGCGAACGGGUGCGUAACGCGUACGGAACAUGCCUUUAUCAGAGGGAUAGCCCUGGGAAACUGGGAAUAAUACCUCAUAACAUUAUUAUAUUGCAUGAUAUGAUAAUUAAAGUUUCGGCGGAUAAAGAUUGUCGUGCGUCCCAUUAGCUAGUUGGUAAGGUAACGGCUUACCAAGGCGACGAUGGGUAGCUGGUUUGAGAGGAUGAUCAGCCACACUGGAACUGAGACACGGUCCAGACUCCUACGGGAGGCAGCAGUAGGGAAUAUUGGACAAUGGACGCAAGUCUGAUCCAGCCAUCCCGCGUGCAGGAUUAAGGCCCUCUGGGUUGUAAACUGCUUUUAUUAAGGAAGAAAGGCUUUUAUUUAUAGAAGUUUGACGGUAUCUAAUGAAUAAGCACCGGCUAACUCCGUGCCAGCAGCCACGGUAAUACGUAGGGUGCAAGCGCUAUCCGGAUUUACUGGGUUUAAAGGUGCCCAGGCGGUAAUUUAAGUCAGUGGUGAAAGCCUACAGCUCAACUGUAGAACUGCCAUUGAAACUGAAUUACUUGAGUGUGGAAGAGGUAGGCGGAAUACAACAUGUAGCGGUGAAAUGCAUAGAUAUGUUGUAGAACACCGAUUGCGAAGGCAGCUUACUAAACCAUUACUGACGCUCAGGCACGAAAGCGUGGGGAGCGAACAGGAUUAGAUACCCUGGUAGUCCACGACCUAAACGAUGUUCACUCGAUAUUUGCGAUAAACUGUAAGUGUCCAAGCGAAAGCGUUAAGUGAACCACCUGGGGAGUACGAUCGCAAGGUUGAAACUCAAAGGAAUUGACGGGGGUCCGCACAAGCGGUGGAGUAUGUGGUUUAAUUCGAUGAUACGCGAAGAACCUUACCUGGGCUCUAAUUCUAUUUGACAGGCUCUGAAAGGAGUUUUUCCUUCGGGACGUGUAGGAAGGUGCUGCAUGGUUGUCGUCAGCUCGUGCCGUGAGGUGUUAUGUUAAGUCCUGCAACGAGCGCAACCCCUAUCAUUAGUUGCCAGCGUUUAAAGACGGGGACUCUAAUGAGACUGCCCGCGCAAGCGGUGAGGAAGGUGGGGACGACGUCAAAUCAUCACGGCCCUUACGUCUUGGGCUACACACGUGCUACAAUGGUAGGUACAGAGGGCAGCUACCUGGCGACAGGAUGCGAAUCUCAAAAACCUAUCUCAGUUCGGAUUGGAGUCUGCAACUCGACUCUAUGAAGCUGGAAUCGCUAGUAAUCGCAUAUCAGCCAUGAUGCGGUGAAUACGUUCCCGGGCCUUGUAACACACCGCCCGUCAAGCCAUGGAAGCUGGGGGUACCUGAAGUUGGUGACCGUAACAGGAGCUACCUAGGGUAAAACUAGUAACUGGGGCUAAGUCGUAACAAGGUAACC